CUGAGCUGUGUCUGCUAUCUACACCACAGCUCAAGGCAACACUGGAUCCUCAACCCACUGAGCUAGGCCAGGGAUUGAACCCACAUCCUUACUGAGCCAUGAUGGGAACUCCAAUAAUGGCUACAUUAAAACUCUUAUCUGCAGAUUCCAUUCUCUGGGCCAUCUAGGGGUUGGUUAAUGUCUAUUAUGUUUUCUCUUGGAGAAAAAUGUAGGAAUCACAUUUCUUUGUGUGUUGAAUUUUGGAUUCCAUCCUGGACAUUGAGAACAAUACACUGCAGAAACUCUGAACUUUAUUAUGUUCCUUUAAAGAGUUUUCAGAUAAUAUGACUGAACUCAAAUUGCAAACUUUAUCUUCCCUGACAAGAGCAUCAACUAAAAUCUUAGUUUAUUUCUUCUAGUCUUAGCUGAAAUGCUUGGUGUCUGUCCCAUGCAUUCUUAGUACAAAUAUCAGGCAGAGAUUUGGAUAGAGUUUAUAUAUAGAAUGUGGGCCUUCCUAUUUCUGGUUCUCUCCUUUCUGAAAGGUCUUCCAUUUUCUAGCUGCUGUGGUCACCCACAACUGUGUCUUCUAGAUCUUCAGCUCAGUAAUACUGAGUUUCUAUUUGAGUUUGAGCCUGUUUAGCACAGCUCUCUGUAGGGGCCUGCUUUACAAAAAGGCCAACGGCUGUAAAAAAAAAAAAAAGGGAAUUUCAUCCAAUGCCAUUCUCUUCUACAAAGCAUUGCCCCACAUUUAGUACCUGCUUGCUUUCAGUUUUUCCACUUUUUGUUUAUACUUUUUAAGAAUUAUAUUUUCUCAAUAAUUUAAUUUUUAUCUGCAGAAAGGUUGGUUUAAUAUGAACUCCUGGGCCAUUAUUGGAAGUGGAACCUGUGUAAUUUUCUUUAAUCUAGCAUUCCCUAAAGAGAUUCUUCAUUUGGUAGAAUCUUAUUGGUAUAUCAUAGGCCUUAGUAUUUCACAGAACUCAUGUUGAGAAAUGCUAUUCUAAGAUUUCCUAUCCUGGGAAACUUUAAAAAAUGGUGAUAAAAUUAACAGAUUAGACCGUUAAAAAGCAAAAUGGGUUUUGAGGGAAAGACGAUGGAAAUGAACUUGAGAAAGGCAUUAAAAAUGCAAUCUUUCUCUUAAUAUUCUUGAAGGAAUGUUCUAUGAGGAAGCAUGGUAGUUUUUCCAUCAUAAUGCUCUCAAAAAUCAGGGAUGUACCCUCCAGGUACUUAAUUCCUCUUGAUCUAUUAGGCGGCUGAAGUCCACGAAUUUUUCUCAACCUUUCUUAAACCUGUUUAUAUUGUCAACUAUUAUUUAGGGUCACAGUUAAAAAGAAAACAAAAUGCUAACUUGGGAGAAUUAAGGCCCACAAUUUUGUUUUACUUGAAGUCCUUAGACCCAAAGGUUAAAAGCAGGCCAUAAUGGAUCUACACAAAGAAAUAAAUAAUGCCAACUACUAUAUAGAAUCCAAAUACUAUAUAGAAUCCAAACAACAAAAAUUCUCAAAUAAUUACCAUUUUUUUCUGGCCUCUUAUCUUAUUAGAGAAGGCAAUUAAAUAAUUUGAUAUUAGAAUAUGACAUAGGACCCAUAUAGUUGCAGCUUAACCUUCUAUUUUUAACUAUAAUGGAUAUGGAAGUAAUAAGAUAAAACCAACCCAUGGCUGCUGUUUAGAAAAAUAAAAAUAAAGACAAAGUGCUUUUUAGAUCACAAUAGAAGAUUAAGGUAUUUGCAUUGUGAUUUUACUGUCAAGUAAAUUUUCUUGUAUUCUAUUUCUCUGAAAAUUGGCAACUGUGUGCCAUAAUGGAAUACAGAGGGACAGUCUCAAGCAUAGGAGCCAGACACCCUGGGGUCUACUGAUUCUUCAGUGCUAUAAAAUUAAAUUAGAUAAUAUUUAUGAGAUAAUAAUAUAUUAUCUGUAAAGUACCUAAUAUAAUGCCUGACAUUCAGUGAAUGUUGGUUUUCUUCUAUUUGGUUUUCUGGGACUGUAAAAAGGAAAAUUUUUUGAUGCCAAACAUGGAUAGAAACAUUUUAUUAUUAAUUUUAACUUUGGACAGGCAAAAGAAUGAAAGAAAUGUACCUUCCUACCGAUAGAUAGCCCAGAUCCCAAACUGCACUAGAAUUUCCAAAAUGUGAACCUGAUCUUGUAACAUUUUUCAUCCCACUUUUGUAUGUACUGCGUGAGGAUGGUUUUACCGUCACUUAUACCUUUAUUUCUAAACUGUCAAGAUAGCAACUUCCCAAUUAAGUUAUAUUUAUACAAGCACCUAAAGGGCUUUUUAUUACAUUAAAUUUUGGUUGAAUUAGAUGGAACCCUUUUAGAGGAAAUAGAUCAUCCUUAAAGCAAUAAGGAUGUUGACCUUAUGGGCACCUUCCUGAGAAUGAUGUUUCAUUAGUCCUGGAUCAGCUUUUGGGGGCUGCAAGACAGUCUGAGCUCUGGAAACUCUGAUCAGCAGCUCUCUCGCAUCCAUAUUCCACAGGCUCUGUGUCUGGUCCUAAUUUUACCUUCACGAUGGCUUACUUUUAUUUUCAUUUUUGGCCCUGUUACACAGACUGCUGCAUUGGAGACAGAAAGCAACAAGAAGGCAGGAGCCAGGCGCUGCCUCCAAUCUGAGCAUCCUACAUAGGUCGAGCCUUUCAAGAUGGAAAUGAUAAUGAAGCUGGCCACCACGGUCCAUUGUGAAAGAGGUCAUUGGGCCUUCAGGUCACAAAUGGAGCAGAAUAAAAAAUGAGAGGAGUGCCGUGAGAUGGGGGAGGGUAGGCAGAAAUUAUGAGACAGAAGGUUAGGCCCUUGGAUUCUCAGCCCACAAAUCCUGGCGAGGAGGCGAUGUGGGUACAUGAACUUUCCAGAGAUUGCUGGAGAAGAAAUCACCUGCUAAUCACUGCAUUCUGCUGGUUGGAUGUGGAAGGAAUAGGAUUUUCCUCAAACCUCAGUUUUUUGUUUUUCGUUUUUUUGUUUGUUUGUUUGUUUGUUUGUUUUUUAACCACAGAUACAUGUGGCAGCACCAGAGAAAACUGACGGUAACCAAUUGUCUCUGAGCUUUUGUUCAGGCCCCUUUUCUGCUGGGCGAGGCUACGCAAUUACUGGCGCCCAUAGAUGGCUGAUUGUCCAUGUGACACUAGGCUGACUUUGAUCUACAGACAUGAUAUCAUCGGCAGGGCGCGCCCAGUGCCAAACUACUGCAUUCUUUUGACCAAAACAGUGGUUUUGUGCAGCCUCACGGAUGCAGGCUAAAGAGCUUGAGAGCGGGCCUGUGUCUCCACAAACAGGGCCUGGCUCAAGAUUCGUUUCUUCCAAGACGCCCUCUUUCACGAACUCACCUCACUCAGCCGUUCCCUCCACCACAUCGGCUUAUUACUCAUCUGAUGCGCUUUGUUCGGCUCUGCCACGUGCUGUUGUGUUUUACCUCGUGAUCAUUCUCUACAUUUUUACUUUAUCCUUGAGCUAAAUUAAAACUGCCUUCAACGAAGGGCCUACCUACUAUUCUUUUUGUGUACUCCUAUAGCAUUUAAGUAGUUUCUUUUUUUUGUUGUUUUGUGUUGUUGUUGUUGUUGUUGUUGUC